UACGUAGGGGGCAAGCGUUGUCCGGAAUCAUUGGGCGUAAAGCGCGUGUAGGCGGCUCGAUAAGUCCGCUGUGAAAGUCCAGGGCUCAACCCUGGGAUGCCGGUGGAUACUGUCGGGCUCGAGUCCGGAAGAGGCGAGUGGAAUUCCUGGUGUAGCGGUGAAAUGCGCAGAUAUCAGGAGGAACACCAAUGGCGAAGGCAGCUCGCUGGGACGUGACUGACGCUGAGACGCGAAAGCGUGGGGAGCAAACAGG
rnacentral:rRNA from 1 species